CUACUCUUGAAGCUCCAGGUUCGGUUGAAGAGGACAACCUUCCCCAACAGACAAGGGCAGGUUGGUCAUUGGUAUACCAGGAGCCACACUCCCUGCUAGAACCUCCAAACAAGCUCUCAAGAUCAGGUAGCUUGAUGAGUCAGC
ensembl:misc_RNA 7SK 7SK RNA